rnacentral:antisense_RNA from 1 species
CUUGAUGGCGCCCAGCCACAGCGGCUGGUCCUCGGGACGGUCCAUGCCAUAGGUGGCCAGCAGCGCCUGCGCCUC